rnacentral:rRNA from 1 species
CCUGAUGCAGCCAUGCCGCGUGUGUGAAGAAGGCCUUCGGGUUGUAAAGCACUUUCAGUUGUGAGGAAAAGUUAGUAGUUAAUACCUGCUAGCCGUGACGUUAACAACAGAAGAAGCACCGGCUAACUCCGUGCCAGCAGCCGCGGUAAUACGGAGGGUGCGAGCGUUAAUCGGAAUUACUGGGCGUAAAGCGCACGCAGGCGGUUUGUUAAGCUAGAUGUGAAAGCCCCGGGCUCAACCUGGGAUGGUCAUUUAGAACUGGCAGACUAGAGUCUUGGAGAGGGGAGUGGAACUCCAGGUGUAGCGGUGAAAUGCGUAGAUAUCUGGAGGAACAUCAGUGGCGAAGGCGACUCCCUGGCCAAAGACUGACGCUCAUGUGCGAAAGUGCGGGUAGCGAACAGGAUUAGAUACCCUGGUAGUCCACACCGUAAACGCUGUCUACUAGCUGUUUGUGGCUUUAAGCCGUGAGUAGCGAAGCUAACGCGCUAAGUAGACCGCCUGGGGAGUACGGCCGCAAGGCUAAAACUCAAAUGAAUUGACGGGGGCCCGCACAAGCGGUGGAGCAUGUGGUUUAAUUCGAUGCAACGCGAAGAACCUUACCUACACUUGACAUGCAGAGAACUUUCCAGAGAUGGAUUGGUGCCUUCGGGAACUCUGACACAGGUGCUGCAUGGCUGUCGUCAGCUCGUGUCGUGAGAUGUUGGGUUAAGUCCCGCAACGAGCGCAACCCUUGUCCUUAGUUGCCAGCAUUCAGUUGGGCACUCUAAGGAGACUGCC